rnacentral:misc_RNA from 1 species
UGGACAAGCUCGUCGGCCCAGG